GACGAACGCUGGCGGCGUGCCUAAUACAUGCAAGUAGAACGCUGAAGGAGGAGCUUGCUUCUCUGGAUGAGUUGCGAACGGGUGAGUAACGCGUAGGUAACCUGCCUGGUAGCGGGGGAUAACUAUUGGAAACGAUAGCUAAUACCGCAUAAGAGUAGAUGUUGCAUGACAUUUGCUUAAAAGGUGCAAUUGCAUCACUACCAGAUGGACCUGCGUUGUAUUAGCUAGUUGGUGAGGUAACGGCUCACCAAGGCAACGAUACAUAGCCGACCUGAGAGGGUGAUCGGCCACACUGGGACUGAGACACGGCCCAGACUCCUACGGGAGGCAGCAGUAGGGAAUCUUCGGCAAUGGACGGAAGUCUGACCGAGCAACGCCGCGUGAGUGAAGAAGGUUUUCGGAUCGUAAAGCUCUGUUGUAAGAGAAAGAACGAGUGUGAGAGUGGAAAAGUUCACCACUG
rnacentral:rRNA from 1 species